rnacentral:rRNA from 1 species
AACGAACGCUGGCGGCAUGCCUAACACAUGCAAGUCGAACGAGACCUUCGGGUCUAGUGGCGCACGGGUGCGUAACGCGUGGGAACCUGCCCUUAGGUUCGGAAUAACUCCCCGAAAGGGGUGCUAAUACCGGAUAAUGUCUUCGGACCAAAGAUUUAUCGCCUUUGGAUGGGCCCGCGUUGGAUUAGCUAGUUGGUAGGGUAAAAGCCUACCAAGGCGACGAUCCAUAGCUGGUCUGAGGGGAUGAUCAGCCACACUGGGACUGAGACACGGCCCAGACUCCUACGGGAGGCAGCAGUGGGGAAUAUGGGACAAUGGGCGAAAGCCUGAUCCAGCAAUGCCGCGUGAGUGAUGAAGGCCUUAGGGUUGUAAAGCUCUUUUACCCGGGAUGAUAAUGACAGUACCGGGAGAAUAAGCUCCGGCGAACUCCGU